rnacentral:rRNA from 1 species
UACAGAGGUCUCAAGCGUUGUUCGGAUUCAUUGGGCGUAAAGGGUGCGUAGGUGGCGCGGUAAGUCGGGUGUGAAAUCUCGGAGCUUAACUCCGGAACUGCCUUCGAUACUGCGGGUCUCGAGUCCGGGAGAGGUGAGUGGAAUUCCUAGUGUAGAGGUGAAAUUCGUAGAUAUUAGGAAGAACACCAAUGGCGAAGGCAGCUCGCUGGAACGGUACUGACGCUGAGGCGCGAAAGCGUGGGGAGCGAACAGG